GACGAACGCUGGCGGCGUGCCUAAUACAUGCAAGUCGAGCGGACCAAACAGGAGCUUGCUCUUGUUUGGUUAGCGGCGGACGGGUGAGUAACACGUGGGUAACCUGCCCGUAAGACCGGGAUAACUCCGGGAAACCGGAGCUAAUACCGGAUAACACCGAGGACCGCAUGGUCUUUGGUUGAAAGGCGGCUUCGGCUGCCACUUACGGAUGGGCCCGCGGCGCAUUAGCUAGUUGGUGAGGUAACGGCUCACCAAGGCGACGAUGCGUAGCCGGCCUGAGAGGGUGACCGGCCACACUGGGACUGAGACACGGCCCAGACUCCUACGGGAGGCAGCAGUAGGGAAUCUUCCGCAAUGGACGAAAGUCUGACGGAGCGACGCCGCGUGAGCGAAGAAGGUCUUCGGAUCGUAAAGCUCUGUUGUUAGGGAAGAAGAAGCGCCGUUCGAACAGGGCGGCGCGGUGACGGUACCUAACGAGAAAGCCCCGGCUAACUACGUG
rnacentral:rRNA from 1 species